ACCACCCUACUGUGUUCGCGAUGUGAUCAACGUGUUUUGAGCCAACACUAACUUUUAGGGUUCCAAUAUGGAAGGAGCUACGCGAUAGGCCUGAGCCAAGGCGGAACUCCUUAUGAGGAAACCCAACCUGCAUACGCAGGUUCAAGACCAAAUCACACACGGCAUGGUGGGGUGUUU
rnacentral:other from 1 species